CCCUCACUGUCUUUUUCCUCACCUGAUGCCCCCAUUGAAAAUAUUGCUAUAGGUUUCUAUCAAAUACUCAAUACAGCUUGUUCUCCCCUUGCCCAUUUCCAGAUCCGACGCUGUGACAGAUCAAGUGUGGACUAGCCUGGAUCUGCAUCUUCUUGCUGGUAGAGCCAUCUCUGUCGUCAUUCUCUCUACUGGGAAAUGGACUUAUUUAUCUACUUACUGGAAGUUUGAACUCUUUGACCACCAAUUCCACAUGCCCUCUCCAUCUCAGGUGUAUAUCAGAAAACAAAGCAGACACCAUUUCCUGCUCUUAUGGAGCUUGUCUAUGGAGGAAGGAGACAACAAGAAAAAUUAUUAGGAAGAGAGCUCAAGAGCUUUAGCUCAGGGGACCAGACUUUUUGAAGAGAGAGCUCACUUUGGCUGUGCCUGAAAGGCCCUGCUCUUCAGUUCUCCAAGGGAAAAUGAGCCCACCCCACACUGGGAAACAGCUCUUAACCAAUCAGCGGCACAAACAGCAUACUCCAGGAGGCCUCAGAUCUCUAAUCAGCAACUUGAAUCAUGCUGAGGAAAUUGCCCUUAAUGUGUCAUCCAAAUUUUAUGUAGCCCUAAAUGUUUCAUUUAAAUGUAAAACAAAGAUAACAGAGUGUAUCCUAGUGAAAUGUGUCCCUCUUCCAAUCAGGCUGUUCUUUCCCUGGCACUCAAAAUUCAAAUCCUGCUGAGAAAUUAUCCUGCAUCACCUUCCCAACUAGCAAAACUCCCAUCAGAGAGAGCCAACUAUUUUUGAAAUCUUCAGAGCAUUUCAAAUACAAUGGCACUCAACGAUGGAGAACCUUCUUGGGGACAGGCACUAGACUCGUUGUGGAGAACACAGAGGUGUAU